GGCCGAACGCUGGCGGCGUGCUUAACACAUGCAAGUCGACCGGAAAGGCCCUGCUUUUGUGGGGUGCUCGAGUGGCGAACGGGUGAGUAACACGUGAGUAACCUGCCCUUGACUUUGGGAUAACUUCAGGAAACUGGGGCUAAUACCGGAUAGGAGCUCCUGCUGCAUGGUGGGGGUUGGAAAGUUUCGGCGGUUGGGGAUGGACUCGCGGCUUAUCAGCUUGUUGGUGGGGUAGUGGCUUACCAAGGCUUUGACGGGUAGCCGGCCUGAGAGGGUGACCGGCCACAUUGGGACUGAGAUACGGCCCAGACUCCUACGGGAGGCAGCAGUGGGGAAUAUUGCACAAUGGGCGGAAGCCUGAUGCAGCAACGCCGCGUGCGGGAUGACGGCCUUCGGGUUGUAAACCGCUUUCGCCUGUGACGAAGCGUGAGUGACGGUAAUGGGUAAAGAAGCACCGGCUAACUACGUG
rnacentral:rRNA from 1 species